CAGGGGAUUUCCAAGGUUGUUGCCAAAACAAGGAAAGGGCAUGGAGCCCUCUGUGGGAGUUGGGGGUGCAAGAAGGGGACUAUCAACAGAGAAAUGGCAUAUACCACUUCCCCCCCUCCCCCUUCCACUGACCAAAACUUUGUCACUUAACUAUACGCAAAUGCCAGGACGCAGGGAAAUGUAAUCUAGCUGUGGGCCAGAAGGAAAAGGAAACAGGUGUGGUGAACAGCUAGCCAGGCUCUGUCAAACCCAUAAAGGGAAAGGGACAGAUACCAGGCUUGCAACUUGACUUCCCCUCAUUUUUUUAUUUUUGAAUCUUUGUUCUGGGAUUAAGAGAUUUGGGUGGAUGGUUUGGAAAUGUAUCUUGCUUUUAGUGAGGGUCCUUGAGGUGUUUGAAACCAGAAGACUAAAAGGAGUUGAUGCUAACUGUUCUUGAAUGGUUGUGAGAAAUAUAAGCAGAGUUCAGGUCUAAUUGGGAAAGAACUCCGUAUUUUAGGAAAGUGACUCAUUCAUGGGCAGAGAGAGACUAGAUCUCUCUUGUAAAGAAUGGAACAAAUAAUACCAUUCUUUGCACAUAGAAAUAAUUUUCUUUAAAAAAGGCUUUUUUUUAACAUUAGACAUCGGGCUUGGAUUUUAGUUUUAUAUUACCUAUAUUCUCAAUGCUUACAUCACUGUAUUUGAUAAAAAGUGUUCUUCUGUUGUGGGAUAUAUUCUUAUUUAGUUUUUCCAUCUAGACCAGGAAGCAAGCCUGUCCCUCCCCAAUACGCCAUUAGCACACAGACUUCUCCACAUUCUGUCCUCAAAACUUACUCCUGGAAGGUCUUUGUUUCAGAUCGUGAGUGGGAAACGGGUCUGAACCCUGCAAGCCCUCAAUCGGUGAAUGCUCCCUGCUGGUCCUCUCAUCACCCAGAGUUCUCCUAUGACCGUCUCCAGGCUGCCUGACACCCAAACAUCUUUCUCACUUCCCACCUCUACAGAAUUGUGUAGCAUCUGGGUUGAAAUUAAGAAUGUUGUCCAUUCACUUAGUAUAAACUCAGAGAGGGGCAGAAAGCAGGGUAUCCUGACUAAAUAGUUCUGAAUUUCUAUCUUAAGAACUUCGGCUAUUACUCAGGUACAUAAAUGUGAUUAUAUUGGUCAGGGUUUUCCAUAGAAACAGGUGUGUGUGUGUGUGUGUGUGUGUGUGUGUGUGUGGGGUGUGUGUGUGCGUGUGUCCUAUUGUGUAUAUAUAUAUUAAAAGAUUUAUUUUAAGGAAUUGACUCAUGCAAUAGUGAAGGCUGGCAAAUCUGUAGGGCAGACCAGCAGCCUAGAAAUUCAGGAGUUGAUGUUGCAAUCUUGAGCCAGAAUUUCUUUUUCAGAAAACCUGUUUUUGUUCUUAAGGCCUUCAACUGAUUUGAUUAGGCCUACUCGUGUUGUUGAGAGUAAUCGCCUCAAGGUCAACUGAGUGUAGGUGUUAACUAUACCUACAAAAUACCUUCAUAGUAACACCUAGAUUCGUGUUCCAUUAAAUCACCACAUACUAAAGCCUGGCAAACAGAGAAAACUAAUCAACACAGUAAUUAAAGUAAUGAAAAUGUGAUUGUGUUGUUUACCUCCUUGGAGUUAUUUCCUUUUCAUGUCGGAAACCUUUAUGAAAAAAAAAAAAGACAACACUUUCAUAAGUGCUAAUGUCAAAUUUGUUGGUCCAUCAGGAUGCUUUUUCUUAAAGAGUCUGUAGUUCGGUCUAAGCAGAAUAUCAACCGCACUAAAGGUUUUUGACUUACGCUUGGAUCUUAGUUGUCUCCUCCUUCUCCAUAGUUCAGUGAUUUCUCAAGCUUUGAUAAAAAAUGAAAAGUGAACUCUAACUUCUAAGACUGUCUCCCCUACACCCAUGAAAUUCCAGUUCUGAUAGUAUAUGUCACUCUUCCUUUUUAUCAGUGCCUUCAGGUAUUUGCAGCUUCAAAAGACAUUCUCUUAAAAAAUCAAAUCUGAAAAUAUUCAAAGGACUGGCCUUCAGCUCUGCAAACUUUUCACAAUAAUGUACAUGAAUGUAGUUUGUUAAAAUCUGCUUCUUUUCAUAGCCGGUGUCUUGUGAGCAAUUUCUGGGAAAUGUUGGUUAUAAGAUAAGCUCUUUUCAGUCGGUUUCAAAAGGUGACCCCCAGGUAGGUAAUCGUCAAGUAGAGGCAUCUAUUCAGAGAAAUGAGGGGGUGAGCAAACUCCUCUGGGCCCACCAUUGUGAACCUACCCAUUCAGCACUUGAAAAACAGCACUGAGUACCCAGCAGGCAAGCUCACUGAAGAGCCUCCUGCCCCCACACGCAGGUGCAUUGAGUGUGAUAGGGGAGAGCUUCGGCAUUUUGUAUUUUAACUUUUCGACACAAAUUCUAAAGCUGGGGAAAAGGGCAAGAAAACAGCCAGGCUUCAACAGAUCCGUCCUUGAGUCACUCUGUUAAGUGGAACUGGGUAAUUGUCUCAUUGGAGAUCUGCAUAAACAGCUUGUGGGAAAGAAUGAUUUGUACCUGACAUAUAUUCACUAGCUUGUGCAUCAAAAGGCCAUACGUGGAUAAAAACCAUGAUCUUGGCAUUCUUUGCACUCUGCAGCCUUUAGACUUGAAGGGCAGAAGCCCACGUGCACAGGUUACCAACCUGUCUUCUCCCAGCCCCGCCUGCCUGGCAAGCCUAGGCGGCGGGUGGAGGUGGUGGGAGGGGGCAGCUGGAACUCCCCAGGAUUUGAGUCAAAAGAGAGUGGAGAAGGAGGAUGCCUUGUGCAAAUAGGCACUCCAUUAAAGGUCUAUUUUGGGUUUCUUGGGACCUUCCUAUUGGUCUAGCUUAAAUUGAAAGGGGAUUUGGUUUGCCUCACUGGUUGUUUCCUCCCACUCAUAUCACAAUUACAGCCUUGUUCAUUGUCAUUAAAAUACAUUUAGUAUGCACCAUUUUUGCAUGGCCCACUGCUAAAAUCCACACACACAAAAACUAUCCCUAGCCCCGAAAUAGUGGAAAGAGCACUGGACACCAAAAGAGAAGGCCUGGGUUUCAAUCCUGGGUCCACCUGGGAAUGUUCAAUAAAAACCUUAGUUGCAAGGAACAAACCCUCACUAGAAUCACCUCACAGUGAUUGCGCGGAACAGGGUGUUGACUGUAAAGAUACACACGCACCUUGAAGUGGAAAUGUGAAGCCAUCAGGAACCAGGGAGCUAGGCUGGGCGUCAGUUGUGCUUUCUUUCCUGCUGUGUCUGAUUCCUUCUGUGGGCUCCUCCUAACUCCAGCCUACUUCCCCCCAAAAGCUCUCGUUUGGGAUCCCACUACUAACUUCUUUUCCUUGUUUCUUAAUUCAAACUCUCAAGCUAUAAUAUGAUUGUCCCAGCUCAUUUUUUAAAGACAAACCUUAUAUGGGCUCCGUAAGGAUUGGCUGAUUGUGGAACAAAGUUAAUCAACUGCCUGUUCCAGAUAAGCCUUCAUCAGCCUACUUCCUUCUCUCAGAGAAGUGUGGCAGGCCAGGCAUUCUGAGGCUUGGCUUGUCCAAAACACUUGGGCAGGUUAUUAACUUCUCCUAGACCUCAUUUCUUUAAUUGUAUUAUGAUGGUGGCACCGGCCCCAACCCACAGAGUUAUUACUUAUGCAUUCAAAAAUCAUUUAUUGAGUUUCUACACAAAGCACUUCUGUUGAGUGCUUUUCAGGCACUGCUCAGCAAUGGGAAGACAGAUGUGAACAAAACCGAUGCAUAUCUGCCUUCAUGAAGUUGGCCGUCCAGGAUCAAACGAGAUUGUUUCUGUGGAAACAUAGCCCCCACCCUCCUACCUGCAGCCCCACAGUAGACCCCAAUGUUAAGAUUCCUUCAUUCUUUUAUUCAUCAAGGGUUUCUUGAGCAUCUACUAUAAAUCACUAGAGAACCAAAGAUAGAGAAGACAUGGUUUCUGAUCUCAAGUGGCUCAUGAUCUAUUUUAGAAAUAACUAUGCAAAGCAAAUAGUGAUGGUACAAAAGCACAAGUUAGCAGGUAGAAUAUGAGAUACAGAAAAGGGAACAACAGUUUGUCCGUACAAGUCAAAGGAGGCUUCCCAGAGGCAGCAACACCUGAGCCGAGACUUAAAGGAUGAGGAGGAGUUUCUCAUAUGUUCAGGCAGUGGAAGGGUAGGGUGAGGACGAGCUAUGGACGUUCUAAGCAAAGAAGAUAACGUGCAAAGCAUAGAAGUUGUACAGAUUAUGGGGAGUUUCACGAUACAGAAACACUCUAGGAUUUUUGGAACAUAUAGCUUAAGGAAUAUAGCAAAAAAAAAAAAAAUGAAGCUACAAAAGUACUAGAGGCCAAAUUAUCACAUAGAACCAUGAAUGUAUUUUAAAUUUUAUCCCAGGCCCCAUGGGGAAUCAUUAAAAAUUUGGAGUAGUGCAUUAAUCUCAGUAAUUGAUCUGAAUAGUCUCUGAUUUAUUUUUUACAAUGAGCAUCCUUUGGGACAGAGCAAGGCUGGACUAGAGGAGGGUCAGACCAGAGGCAGAGGGGAAGUAAAGAGACAGUUGUAACAAUCUCAAGGAGAGAUGAUGAGGACCUGAACUGAUGAGGCAACAGUAAGUAGGAAAGGAGGUGAGCAUCUCCAAAGAGCUUUAGAAGGUAGAAAUGACAGAACUUGGUGAUUGUUUUGGAAGUAGGGAAGAAAAAGAUGAGAAGAUGCCUUCCAUGUUUCUAGCCUGAAAGACUACGGAGGAGAGGGACACUGGCCCCCAGAGAGGGAGUUCAGGAAGGAAGCAGGCAAGGAGGCGCUAGUUAACUCCUAUGUGGACAAGUGGAAUUGGAAGCAUUUCGGCAUGUGUGCAGAGAUGUUGAGUGGCUCUGCAGCUGGGGUUGCAGGCCUCUUGCUCAAAACAGGAAGCUGGGAUGAAGGUCUAUGUGUGGAGGCAUCAAAAUGUGGAUGCACCUGAGACUAGAAGGUCAAGAGAAGGUGCAGUGUGAGAGUGAAAGGAUCUAUGGCAGGGAGUGUGGAUGGACACCUCUUUGCAGGACAGAGACCAGUAAAAGGAGACUCUGUCUUUGGAAGAAAAACCCACCAUCCCUAAAACUAGCUGUUCACUCCCAUCCUGUCUCUUAGGAGUAUGCUCUGGAUGGAGACAGAAUAAAUUAUUAUUCCCUGAGAAAUAUUAGUGGUGUUUGCCUUAAGUAAGAAUUUAUGUGGCCCAGGAUAAGGAUAAGCUAUAGUUUCAGCUGAGGGGCAGCUUCGGGGAAGAUGUUCUCUGACAGGUUUAGCAAUGGGCUGUCUUUUUCAUGCUCCAUGAGGCUCUGGCCCAAUCCAGGACCCACUGCUCUACAUCCCCACUGUGGAUACAAGAAACUGAACUGGAAAACAUUGGUUCUAGAGAAGAAUCGAAGAUGGGGAAAACAACUACCUCUGGGUUAGCUGAAAGGAAAAACGUUAACGAAGCAGAAACUGAAGACUGAAGGAAGCAAGAGAGACUCAAACUGAAACAUUGGUUCUUCCUGGAGCUCAAGCCUGCCAACCUUUGAACGAGAACAUGCCAUCAGCUCUCCUGGUUCUCUGGCCUUCAGGAUACAAAAGGACAUACAGAUGUCAUUGCAGUAUUUUUUUUUUUCAACAUUUCUACAUGCUUGAAAAAUUCAGAAUAAAAAUUGGGAAAAUGUGAAGUCAAGAAGUGUCAGGAGACUCUUCAAAGAAGGUGCCUAUGAAGAGUCACAAAACUUUCUCUCUCCCUUAUUCUCGACCUCUCUCCUUUCUCUUUUUCCCUCAGUAAAUUUACUUUAUUUAACAUGAGAUUUUAUAACUCACAGUGGAUACUGUAGUUAAACAUAAAUAAUAAUUCUACCCCUCUUUUGUGCAGAUUUAUGCUCUGUAAACAUUACACUGAGAAAAUAUGGCCUUAACCUUUGUUCUGCAAAUGUUUCAGAAUUUUUUCUACUGCCACAUUAUAAGAUAAAUGUCAGUCUAAAUGAAGGCUUUUCUAUAAAACUCAGCAACUUCACAGAUGGCCUUUAAUUCAUGGCCAUAAAAGAUAAAACUAUAUUUUUUUGGUUGAAAAUAAUUUCAAAAGCUCUUCUUAAGUCCCCAGAAGAACAUAAUGCUACCUACUCUUGAUGCUGCAUGAGGUCAGUUAAAUAAACUCAGACACUGUUCUCCAGAAGUUAUCAACCAAACUGAGAAAAUUACAUAAAAAUUACCUGGAAUGAAUAUAACUGCUUUUUUCAGAAACCUCAAUAAUGACAGAUGGCCAAAUAACUGCUUUGCCCCAGGAUGCUUUCUCUGAUGUGACUCGAUGAAUUAUCCUAUACAGAAAGUGCACAAGGUUAGCCAGAGGCAAAUGACAGAGAUAUGUCUCAAAUUCAUUUUCUGAAAAACAUACCUUGAGAAAACCUAUAACCACUGAGAUAUUUUUAAGGAGGUCUGUUACAUAGUACAGCAGAGGUUCUCCACUCUGGCUGCACACAGGAAUCACCUGGAGAGCUUAAAAAAGUACUGGGGCCAAAGUUCCCAUCCCCUCAUCCCAGAGAAUCCAAUUUUGGUCUGGAGAGCAGCCUGAGCAUCAGGAUUUUUUAAGUUUCCCUAGUUAUUCUAAUUAGUAACAUUAGAAUAGUGAAUAAAUGAACUUUUUACAUAUUCUUAGUUUACAUUCAGAAACUAAUUUGAAUCAACUUUAAAGUAUUAAACAAUGGUGCUCUAUGACCUAGGCUGCUCGUGCUAUACCAAAAUACACAGACUCAGAGGGAAAAACAGAAGGUCUAAGAUGGAGAAAGGAUUCACAACGCUGUCAGAUCAGAAAUAGCUAUAGCAACAGGUAAUACUGGGGCUGAAAAGAAAGACCUGGUAAUACUUAAGAGCUGCCUUCAUAUAACUCAAGGGUACACUCGAGGGCAGAGAUAGGGUCAAGGAUGAUAGCUAAAGGAAGCUAGAUUUUGGCAUAAUAUAAGACUUUCUUUAAAAGCAGUGUUGUGUGGGAUUAGAUUGGUUGCUUUGAAAUUGUGAAUACCUGGUCACUGCUGAAAUUCAGACAUUGGCUUGUUGACUUCUAGGCCAGGUUGCUUCAGAGGAAACCAAAGAAAAUAAAUGCUAUAUUAACCAUU